UGGUGCCAGCAGCCGCGGUAAUUCCAGCUCCAAUAGCGUAUAUUAAAGUUGUUGCAGUUAAAAAGCUCGUAGUUGAAUUUCGGGAUGAUCAGGUUGGUCGUGCCAUUGGUAUGUACUAGCUUUGGUGGUUCCUACCUCUUGAAGAACCGUAAUGUCAUUAACUUGGUGUUGCGGGGAAUCAGGACUGUUACUUUGAAAAAAUUAGAGCGUUUAAAGCAGGCAAACGCUUGAAUACAUUAGCAUGGAAUAAUGAAAUAGGACGUUUGAUCUUAUUUUGUUGGUUUCUAGGAUCGACGUAAUGAUUAAUAGGGAUAGUUGGGGGCAUUAGUAUUCAAUUGUCAGAGGUGAAAUUCUUGGAUUUAUUGAAGACUAACUACUGCGAAAGCAUUUGCCAAGGAUGUUUUCAUUAAUCAAGAACGAAAGUUAGGGGAUCGAAGACGAUCAGAUACCGUCGUAGUCUUAACCAUAAACUAUGCCGACUAGGGA
rnacentral:rRNA from 1 species